rnacentral:rRNA from 1 species
GAAUAUUGGACAAUGGGGGCAACCCUGAUCCAGCCAUGCCGCGUGAGUGAAGAAGGCCUUAGGGUUGUAAAGCUCUUUCAGCAGGGAAGAUAAUGACGGUACCUGCAGAAGAAGCCCCGGCUAACUCCGUGCCAGCAGCCGCGGUAAUACGUAGGGUGCAAGCGUUAAUCGGAAUUACUGGGCGUAAAGCGUACGCAGGCGGCUGUGCAAGACAGGUGUGAAAUCCCCGGGCUUAACCUGGGAACUGCAUUUGUGACUGCAUAGCUAGAGUCCGUAAGAGGGGGGCGGAAUUCCACGUGUAGCAGUGAAAUGCGUAGAGAUGUGGAGGAACACCGAUGGCGAAGGCAGCCCCCUGGGAUGAGACUGACGCUCAUGUACGAAAGCGUGGGGAGCAAACAGG